CCUACGGGGUGCAGCAGUGAGGAAUAUUGGUCAAUGGACGAGAGUCUGAACCAGCCAAGUAGCGUGAAGGAUGACUGCCCUGUGGGUUGUAAACUUCUUUUAUAUGGGAAUAAAAUGUUCCACGUGUGGGCUUUUGUAUGUACCAUAUGAAUAAGGAUCGGCUAACUCCGUGCCAGCAGCCGCGGUAAUACGGAGGAUCCGAGCGUUAUCCGGAUUUAUUGGGUUUAAAGGGAGCGUAGGUGGAUUGUUAAGUCAGUUGUGAAAGUUUGCGGCUCAACCGUAAAAUUGCAGUUGAAACUGGCAGUCUUGAGUACAGGAGAGGUGGGCGGAAUGCGUGGUGUAGCGGUGAAAUGCUUAGAUAUCACGAAGAACUCCGAUUGCGAAGGCAGCUCACUGGACUGCAACUGACACUGAGGCUCGAAAGUGUGGGUAUCAAACAGGAUUAGAUACCCCAGUAGUC
rnacentral:rRNA from 1 species